rnacentral:tRNA from 1 species
GCAGUCGUGGCCGAGUGGUUAAGGCGAUGGACUUGAAAUCCAUUGGGAUAUUCCCGCGCAGGUCCGAAUCCGGCCGGCUGCG